rnacentral:rRNA from 1 species
UGAGUAACACGUAUCCAACCUGCCGUCUACUCUUGGACAGCCUUCUGAAAGGAAGAUUAAUACAAGAUGGCAUCAUGAGUCCGCAUGUUCACAUGAUUAAAGGUAUUCCGGUAGACGAUGGGGAUGCGUUCCAUUAGAUAGUAGGCGGGGUAACGGCCCACCUAGUCUUCGAUGGAUAGGGGUUCUGAGAGGAAGGUCCCCCACAUUGGAACUGUGACACGGUCCAA